rnacentral:rRNA from 1 species
GACGAACGCUGGCGGCGUGCCUAAUACAUGCAAGUCGAGCGGAUUGAUGGGAGCUUGCUCCCAUCAGUCAGCGGCGGACGGGUGAGUAACACGUGGGUAACCUGCCUGUAAGACUGGGAUAACUCCGGGAAACCGGGGCUAAUACCGGAUAACUCAUUUCCUCGCAUGAGGAAAUGUUGAAAGGUGGCUUUUAGCUAUCACUUACAGAUGGACCCGCGGCGCAUUAGCUAGUUGGUGAGGUAAUGGCUCACCAAGGCGACGAUGCGUAGCCGACCUGAGAGGGUGAUCGGCCACACUGGGACUGAGACACGGCCCAGACUCCUACGGGAGGCAGCAGUAGGGAAUCUUCCGCAAUGGACGAAAGUCUGACGGAGCAACGCCGCGUGAGUGAUGAAGGUUUUCGGAUCGUAAAGCUCUGUUGUUAGGGAAGAACAAGUACCGUUCGAAUAGGGCGGUACCUUGACGGUAC